AAUACUGAGUCCAAAUCCGAUGGGCAAUCAGGCAUCAGAAUUCAUCGAUAUGUAACCUUGAUCGAAAAGUCCCAACCAGUGGGACUCUUGACCCCGGUACCCAUAAUGUGUGGAACUCGUGAUCAGAGAAUCCUGAUUCUCGAUCACUGAGUCUCAAAUAUGUAGAAUUCUACAUCAGCCAUCAGAUCAGAUAGGAACCUCUAAUG
rnacentral:lncRNA from 1 species